rnacentral:tRNA from 1 species
CGGCACGUAGCGCAACUGUUGCGCACCAAAUCGCAUAAGUGUCGAGGGGUCGGAGGAGUUCAAAUCCUCUCGUGCCGACCA